AUAGAUCUGGGUUUUAUUUGACUAUUGGAACUGGAAGAAUGAGGUACCUCCGCCAUGUUCCUCGAAGAUUCAAGAGCGGCUUCAGAGAGGGUACUCAAGCAGCACCAAGGAAGAAGGGAGCGGCUGCUACUGCU